GUCCUGAGAAAGAGACAUCGAGAGGCGGAGACCGAAAGCCAGCGACUUCAUCGGGCGCUCCGGGAUGCGCUGCUAAAAAAGAAAGAGCUAGAAGAAGAAGUUGAGAAUCUGAGGCAGUCCUGGAUAAGGGGUGGAGCAGAUAAUUCUAGGUCGGAAGGAGCAGAGCUUCCCUAGGGCUCUUUUUGGCCUUCUGUCUUUUCAUGUAUACAU
rnacentral:lncRNA from 1 species